CACGUAGGGUGCGAGCGUUGUCCGGAAUUAUUGGGCGUAAAGAGCUCGUAGGCGGUGUGUCGCGUCGGCCGUGAAAACCUGCAGCUUAACUGUGGGCGUGCGGGCGAUACGGGCAGACUGGAGUACUGCAGGGGAGACUGGAAUUCCUGGUGUAGCGGUGGAAUGCGCAGAUAUCAGGAGGAACACCGGUGGCGAAGGCGGGGUCUCUGGGCAGUAACUGACGCUGAGGAGCGAAAAGCGUGGGGGAGCGAACAGG
rnacentral:rRNA from 1 species